rfam:Byssochlamys spectabilis No. 5 DNA, contig: PVAR5_00022_2.
ACUCUCGUGGCGCAAUGGUAGCGCGUCAGCCUCCUAUGGCUGGGAUUAGCUGAAGGCUGCGGGUUCGAAUCCCGUCGAGAGUG